AGAGUUUGAUCCUGGCUCAGGACGAACGCUGGCGGCGUGCUUAACACAUGCAAGUCGAACGGAAAGGCCCCUUCGGGGGUACUCGAGUGGCGAACGGGUGAGUAACACGUGGGUGAUCUGCCCUGCACUUUGGGAUAAGCCUGGGAAACUGGGUCUAAUACCGAAUAGGACCGCAUGCUUCAUGGUGUGUGGUGGAAAGCUUUUGCGGUGUGGGAUGGGCCCGCGGCCUAUCGGCUUGUUGGUGGGGUAAUGGCCUACCAAGGCGACGACGGGUAGCCGGCCUGAGAGGGUGUCCGGCCACACUGGGACUGAGAUACGGCCCAGACUCCUACGGGAGGCAGCAGUGGGGAAUAUUGCACAAUGGGCGCAAGCCUGAUGCAGCGACGCCGCGUGGGGGAUGACGGCCUUCGGGUUGUAAACCUCUUUCAGUAUCGGCGAAGCUCCAGGAUUUUUCUUGGGGUGACGGUAGGUACAGAAGAAGCACCGGCCAACUACGUGCCAGCAGCCGCGGUAAUACGUAGGGUGCGAGCGUUAAUCGGAAUUACUGGGCGUAAAGCGUGCGCAGGCGGCUUUGCAAGACAGAUGUGAAAUCCCCGGGCUCAACCUGGGAACUGCAUUUGUGACUGCAUGGCUAGAGUGCGGCAGAGGGGGAUGGAAUUCCGCGUGUAGCAGUGAAAUGCGUAGAUAUGCGGAGGAACACCGAUGGCGAAGGCAAUCCCCUGGGCCUGCACUGACGCUCAUGCACGAAAGCGUGGGGAGCAAACAGGAUUAGAUACCCCGGUAGUCCAA
rnacentral:rRNA from 1 species